GACAGAGUGCCCGAGUGGUUAAGGGGAGUGACUUGAAGCGCUAGGCCUUGAAUGUGAUUCGUCAGAUCGAGGGGUACCUAGCCAUAGAUAUCACUUGGCUUCGGCCUCGCAGGUUCGAAUCCUGUCUCUGUCG
rnacentral:tRNA from 1 species